AUCCUUAGAUGGAACCAAAAAUAAACUCACAGCCACCACCGUCAAUGCUUGUUCGAAAGUACAGAACCAAGAAUUUAUUAAUGCUUGGUGGUCUUGUUGCAUCUGUCUCUGGCAUAUAUUUCUACACCAUGUGGACAGUAUCUCGUGGUGCAUUUACUGAUGCCGAAUUAAAUUCAACGUCAAAGAAAUAAGACGCAUUUAACUGAUAUCUUUUUUGUAAAUAUAUGUAUAUUUUUUACUUUGUAAAGUGGAAAAUAAAAUAGAAAUAAACUCUGAUAC